rnacentral:rRNA from 1 species
CAAUAGCGUAUAUUUAAGUUGUUGCAGUUAAAAAGCUCGUAGUUGGGUUUCGGGUGGGUGUCAGCGGUCCGGCUCUGCUGUGUACUGCUGGUGCCUUCCUUUCUGUCGGGGACGGGCUCUUGGACUUCACUGUCCGGGACUCGGAGUCGGCGAGGUUACUGUGAGUAAAUUAGAGUGUUCAAAGCAAGCGUUCGCUAUGAAUACGUUAGCAUGGAAUAACAUGAUAGGACUCUGGCUUAUCUUGUUGGUCUGUAAGACCGGAGUAAUGAUUAAGAGGGACAGUCGGGGGCAUUCGUAUUUCGUUGUCAGAGGUGAAAUUCUUGGAUUUACGAAAGACGAACUUCUGCGAAAGCAUUUGCCAAGGAUGUUUUCAUUAA